rnacentral:rRNA from 1 species
UACGUAGGGUGCGAGCGUUAAUCGGAAUUACUGGGCGUAAAGCGUGCGCAGGCGGUUUUGUAAGUCUGACGUGAAAUCCCCGGGCUCAACCUGGGAAUUGCGUUGGAGACUGCAAGGCUGGAGUCUGGCAGAGGGGGGGUAGAAUUCCACGUGUAGCAGUGAAAUGCGUAGAGAUGUGGAGGAACACCGAUGGCGAAGGCAGCCCCCCUGGGUCAAGACUGGACGCUCAUGCACGAA